rnacentral:misc_RNA from 1 species
AUGAUCUUGACUCCUCCUUACAAAGACUUAAUUGCUCAAGCACACAACGGUUCUGGAAAGACUACCUGUUUUGUGCUUGGGAUGUUGAGUCGUGUUGAUGUGAACUUGAAGGCUCCUCAGGCGUUUUGCAUAUGUCCUACAAGGGAGUUAGCCAUGCAGAAUAUUGAGGUUCUUAAGAAAAUGGGAAAAUACACUGGGAUAACUUCAGAAUGUGCUAUUCCUGCUGACAGUGCUAACUAUGUGCCUAUGUCAAAGCGACCACCAAUAACUGCGCAAGUUGUGAUCGGAACUCCUGGCACAAUAAAGAAAUGGA